rnacentral:lncRNA from 1 species
AGAGGCGGGACCACGAACACGGGAACUCCCAGCUCCAGAGUUGAGAGGCUCUCCUGAGCUGCCCAGGCUCCUCCCCGGCAGCCAAGGACUUCCUGCACCUGGAGGUACAAGACAAACCAGUGUUGGUAUUUUUCUGUGAACUCUGCCAGCAGGGGCGCAUGCCUGGGGAGAGGAAGAACUUCUCACCUUGCUCAGUGUGCCUCGGACACUCGGACACUGGCCAAGGAAGCCUGCUGGCUGCUUCUGUUCAGUUGGGGGAGACCAUGGAAGCGUCAGAGUUGGGAUGUGCGCCUCCAGGAAGCUCUAGUCUGCUGGAAAUCUGAAGAAGGCAAAUCCAAUGGAGAGAGGUUGCUCGGGGAGCGGGCAAAAUGUGGAAAUACCUUGUAAAGGCAUCCCUGCCCGAGCCUAGAAAUUCCCUGCACGGGCACCGAGACGUGCUCCGCGUCUGCGGGACUAAGCCCACCAGACUGCUGGAAAGAGCAGCACACGGAGAGCCAAGUGGUUUGCCGGCAGUUGCUUGGUGAGUGUUGGACCCUGAGUGGGUGGAGGGUGUUUGGUGAUCCCAAGGGUUGGGACCGGUGGAUAGCCCCAGUAUCAGGCCCUCGCAUUGCAUGGCUCCAGGGGGCGCCAUUCUCAUUGUAGACCAUGAGA